UGAUCACCGGAAGAGAUACAAGUUCAGCGUGGCUGAGGGGGUGCAACCAGCGGCCGGGCUAGCAGAGUGAACAGUACAACAAAUGCACAACGAUGCAAUUAAAUUAAGGAUCCGUAUGUGGUAUGGUUAGCAUUAGCCUAUAGUUAAAAAAGGCUGCAGCUGCCUUAAUCACUCAUUUAAUGCACCACCCGGCCAGCAGCUAAAUUAUGCAAAUCAAUCACACCCACGAUGUUACGUGAACAGGUGCACGCUGUGUCUAGCUAACAUGAUACACGCUAACAUGCUGUGGUGGAUCCUCCAACGGUGACUUGUGCGUUCACAGAGGAAAAUUUACCUUCAGUGAGGUGUGAGGCCGUUCUGCUGUUUGUGGCUGCAGAGCUUUCUUCAGCUCAACAUGUUUGAACGAUCCGAGGAGCACAAUGGGACAGAGAGACAGAGUGGACUGGUUAUAUUAUGCUUUGAGAAUCAACAGCAGAAAGGAGGACUUCGCAAUACUCCGAAUGCCGUUUAGACAGAUAAGGAUUGGACUCAAUUGUUUGUUGGACUCUGGAGGAGGCCUACCACAUGGUCGUCGCAACCACGUCACGGGGCACGCUCUGGAGAGCACACAGCACCCACCACUCGCCACUGGAUUCCCUCGACUCAACUUCCCCUUUUUUGCCACCAGCACGUUUAUUGUAUAUACUUCACGCAUUAAAUUAUUUAAUCUUA